AAGUUGUUGCAGUUAAAAAGCUCGUAGUCGGAUGUCGGGCUCGGGCAGGCUGUCGGCUUCGGUCGGACGGCAGGCUCGGGUCUUUCUGCCUGAGGAUCCCGUUGCACUUAAUUGUGGGGCGUGGGGACGCAGGCCGUUUACUUUGAAAAAAUUAGAGUGUUCAAAGCAGGCCUACGCUUGAAUACAUUAGCAUGGAAUAAUGGAAUAGGACUUUGGUGCUAUUUUGUUGGUUUAUGGGACCGAAGUAAUGAUUAACAGGGACAGUUGGGGCCGUUUAUAUUUCGUUGUCAGAGGUGAAAUUCUUGGAUUUACGAAAGAUAAACUUCUGCGAAAGCAUUCGGCAAGGAUGUUUUCAUUGAUCAAGAACGAAAGUUAGGGGAUCGAAGACGAUCAGAUACCUUCGUAGUCUUAACCAUAAACUAUGCCGACUAGGGAUCAGUGGAUGUCAAUUUGCGACUCCAUUGGCACCUUGUGAGAAAUCAAAGUUUUUGGGUUCCGGGGGGAGUAUGGUCGCAAGGCUGAAGCUUAAAGGAAUUGACGGAAGG
rnacentral:rRNA from 1 species